AAGCAACACUCUGUGACAGUUGCAACCCCAUCUGUCCCAAUUUAUGCUUGCUAGAGAAAUUAAGUUUAUCCUAUUCCAGUAAUCUCUUUGUGAGGCCUACUGUUAUAAUGACUCGAACACA